rnacentral:rRNA from 1 species
CAGCCGCCGCGGUAAUACGAAGGGUGCAAGCGUUAAUCGGAAUUACUGGGCGUAAAGCGUGCGUAGGCGGUGAGUUGAGUCUGCUGUGAAAUUCCCGGGCUCAACCUGGGAAUGGCAGUGGAUACUGGCUCGCUAGAGUGUGUCAGAGGAUGGUGGAAUUCCCGGUGUAGCGGUGAAAUGCGUAGAGAUCGGGAAGAACAUCAGUGGCGAAGGCGGCCAUCUGGGACAACACUGACGCUGAGGCACGAAAGCGUGGGGAGCAAACAGGAUUAGAUACCCGAGUAGUCCCUGUCUCUUAUAC